CAGAGAAUGCACACCAAAAAAAAAAAAUACAGAAUUAAUAUCUUGGUUUAAUAAGCAAAUAUCUGAUUUACCAAUAUGAUUUAAAUAUAACACAAAUAAAGUGAUAGUAAACAGGCAAAACAAAAAAAUCUACAGCAAAUAUUUACCACAAUCCGAUAGGGCAGAAUCAUGAAUACAAAGAACCCCCCAACUUUUCGGCACCUCCUGGAUGCCUUUAUCAAGGGCGUUUAGGUACCUAAACACCACAAGUUUAAAAAAAGACCCCUAUCGGAUCUGACACUGUGUCAGUAGUAAUGGUGUAAAUACACACUAAAUGGAUGAGAGCCCAAUGGGUAAUCUACAAUGGAUAUCUAUUUGGCAGAAAAAUGUUGGCAAAAUAUGAAAAAAAUUGAAAAGAUUAAAAAAUAAAGUAAAAUUCAAAAAAUAAUGGCAAAAUAUGAAAAAAUUUAUAUACAGUCCCAGUGUGCACACACUAAAAUGGGUAUCAACUGAUGGAUGGCAUUGGAUGGAUUUCACCACUCUUGCUGAUGAAGAAAGUCCUGGAUGAACUGCAGUUUGGGAAGUGUAAUGGCUUAAUCAAGCCUAUAGGUGAGCCUUUUCUUCAUAUGCAGAUCCUAGUAGUUCCUUCUCAGUUGUCCUGCCGUGUGGAAGAUGAAGUGCCUGGGGUCUCUCUGCCGAUGGGGUGUCUGGGCUGCGCGCUCGGGACUUCAAUAGGCACCGGCCUAUAACUAUACCAACCAAUACUGGGAAAUGGGGGGCUUCUCUCUAGAAUUGUGAUAUAAUGAGUCAGAAUGACACCUGGCUGGCGUGGGCCUCUAACCAUAUUGACCAAUACUGGGAGAUGGGGGAUUUAUCCAGUAACACGACUUGAGGCUCCGGCCACACCCAUAAUAACACUAGCUGCGAGGUGUAGGGUAGCAUUGUGAGAUGAUGCAAACAGUAGUGUAUAGCAAUUUGAUAUUCAUUUCCUGCAUUCUCUUUGCACUAUAUAGUGAAUAGUGACAGAUGAGCUUAUGUACAAUUCUCUCAGUAAAUAUGAAUGACUGGAUCGGAAGGUAUGACAAUGUUAGACUGGUUAGAAUUUAGAACAUGCCUUUUGAACAUGCCAGUGUGUUUUGGUGUAUCAAUUGAUAUUUAAGGGAACACUAUAAUCAAAACAACCAUAGCUUAAUGAUGCGGCUUACGUGAUGAUCCCCUUAGUGACCAGACCGUUUUCCAACUUACCGUUAAAGACCAGGGCUCUUUUUACAUUUCUGCUGUGUUUGUGUUUAGCUGUAAUUUUCCUCUUACUUAUUUACUGUACCCACACAUAUGAUAUACAUUUUUUCUCGCUAUUAAAUGGUCCUUCUAAAAAAAAACAAUUUAUCAUAUCAUAUAAUUUACAAUAAAAACAAAUUAUAUUAUGAUGAAAACUUUUUUUUUUUUAAACACACUUUUUCUAACUUUGAACCCCAAAAUCUGUUACGCAUCUACAACUGCCAAAAAACACCCAUGCUAAAUAGUUUCUAAAUUUUGUCCCGAGUUUAGAAAUACCCAAUGUUAACAUGUUCUUAGCUUUUUUUUUUUUGCAGGUUAUAGAGCAAUAAAUACAAGUAGCACUUUGCUCUUUAGAAUAAGGUAUCUUGAUACUUGGGGUACUUUCUCCUUUUUUCACAUGUAUAUCCUCCUACUAGCUUGGAGUAUACACGUACUCGGUGUACUUUAAUAUGUCCCUGUUGGGAUAUUUUUAAUUAUACCUAAUAAAAGCUACAUUUUAGGAAUUAUUUGUUCUUUGGUGUUUUACCAUAUUCCAUUUAUUGAUUUUCAUGCGUUUAGGGCUCAGACCCCUAGUUACAGUGGUGGAGUCUAUUCACUUUAUCACUUUUCAACCAACAGUGGACAUGGAAGAAUCUCAUUUUCCUUUUAUUAUAUAUUUCACACAACAAUAGGUUUUUAGAUUUUUUUUGUUUGUUUUGUUUUUAUUUCCUUUGGAGUGCAGUUCUCUUUUUCGGUUUAGUUGAAGUUUUUUUUUUACAUGUCCGCUUAAGUUUCUUGAUUCAGGUUAGUUUCUACGCACAUAGAGCUUUGUCGGUUGUUAUUAACCUUUUAUAGUCUCUGGUUGACUUUAAUAAGAGAAGAAUAUCGAGGGCACAUGUGAAGGACUUUUAUGUAUUUGCCUAUAUGCUUCAGUUUAAUCCUCUCCCUGCUAUUUUAAUGUCUAUAUUGUUCGGUUCAAACUGUUGAGAAUGAAUGUAUUCGUGUACCGAACGGGGACCACACACCCUGGGUAGCAAGUAGCAAUUAGAACACAGAGAAAACCGCAACUUAAUUGCUACUAGGUGGCCGCCCUUUGACAUACGAACACGUGGCGAGAACAAAGGAUGGCGGCCAUCUUAAAACUCACGAAUGCGGUCUGCGGGGCUUAUGCAUGAAUUGCAUGGAACUGUUUUCGGUACGGGAACCAUGCGAACGCCCGGUCCCCAUGGAAGUCCUGGAUGAAUACGUUCCCCUUCACGAAUCAAACUGGCGUUCGGUAGAUAGUAUCUACCGAAUGAGGGGAACAUUCACAAGUAACCAGCUGAACCAUACGAACGGUGGUUUUCAUGUAGUUAGAUGCGAACGGAGACCGGCUCUUGCUACUGAUUCUAUGGAACUGUAACUCGGAUACCUCCACAUGGCAAGCCGGUCAAACUUCCACAUGAUGCGACACGGAGACUACCGAACGGAAAUUCGUGAGAUUUGGAUAUGUGACUACCAGUAUCCUCAGCUAUCCAGGGAUGUUAAAAGUUUAUUUGUAUGUCUUAUAAAAAGUAUGUUUCUGAAAUUGUCAUAAAUCGUAAUGUUUCUGGCCAGCAGAUAAUUGAGCUUUGUGUAUUGUAGAAACUCAAUUAUCUAGCCUGGCCCGGAGGAGGAGUUUUGUGUUGCAUAAAUUGUGAGUUCUGUGUGCCAGUAAAUCAGUCUUGUUCCAGCAUUAAGCUUUGGCUCAUGUGUGGAUUAUUCGGCGAUUCCAGGGAUAUUUCUGCUUAUGGAAUAUUGAGUGCUUUUCUUUUAUGGGAAGAAGGGAAUGCUUGACGGGGAUAUUUUCUACUACCGUCACAACUGGUUGGCAGCGGCAGGAUUUUCCCUUCUACUUUCCUUUACACCAGGAUUCCAAGCAGACACUGGGAACAGUGAAUGGAAGGCUGGGACACCCUGCUUAAAAGAAAUACACUGAAAGAACUACUGGAAGUUCGUGGAAGGAUUGCUAGCAACAAAACCAAGCGGGUCAUCAUAGCAGAAUUAAUGGAGCUAGACCAGGAGAACUUGGUUGCAGCAAUGCCAGCAGUACAAGAGAUGGAGACACCAGUGAUUCAGGAGAAGGAAUCACCAGCCAACAAGGUAAUGGUUCGGUCCGAACACAACGGCGGAUGUGGUGCUGAAAGUGAUGAACCUGUUAGCGGAGGAGGCUAAACAAAUAAGAGACGCAGAGCUACAGUUAAAACUGGCAGCAGUCCAACAAGCAGCCGCACAUUCUCCAAACAGUGAGUACAGCACAGCAGACACAAGGAAGAUUCCGUUUAGCGCUUUUAAAGCUUUUGAUGAAAAAGACUGUGAAAUUGAUAACUACCUGGCAGAUUUUGAGCGACAAUGUAACCUGCACCGAAUAGCUAGGGGAGAGUGGGUUUCAAUAUUGUCAGGCAAACUGUCAGGCAAAGCUUCUGAUGCUUUCCGGACCAUGCCAGAGCAGGAGAUCCAUAGCUACACCAGGGUUAAAGAAGUGCUCCUGGCUCGUUAUGCAGUAACCCCAGAGUCCUACCGAAAGAAGUUCAGGGACUCACGCAAAACCACGAAAGACUCUUACGUGGAAUGGGCAUUCCAGUUAUCCCUGUCGGCCUCUAACUGGGUUAACAGCAGCCAGGCCACCACCGCAGAGGACAUUCUGCAACUAAUGCUCCUGGAGCAAUUUUACAAUCACAUCCAGACGGAUGUCAAAGACUGGGUGAGAGAUCGCAGGCCCAUGACUCUACCAGAGGCCGCUAAGUUGGCAGAUGAAUAUGCGGAUACUCGCAAGACGAACCAGGUCACACCAUGGGUACAACCUCCACGACCAACGGUGCCCUCAAACCCACCAGCCGCUAGAUACCAACCUCCUAACAGACCGGUGACAUCUAGCCCUCGCUAUCCACGCCAGGAGGACAAUGAACAACGCUGCUUCUGGUGCAAACAGCUGGGUCACUUCAAGCAGAAUUGCCCCAUGGACAACAACACCAGGUCAAAUUGGUCUCGACCUGGAUACCGCCCACCAGCAGCAGCCCAUUGUGUAGACUCGGCUUGGUAUCCCCAGGAGCUGGGUCAGGAAGAACCAUUGGGCACCCUUUACGAAGCCCUCAUGGUAAAUCUGUUAUUACGGACAAUCGGAAACACCAUUGUCAGCUGGUCAUGGUUAACGGCAAAACCGCCCGGGGAUUAAGAGACAGUGGGGCGACCAUCACGUUGGUACAAAGACACCUUAUUAAUGCAUCAGAGAAACCGGGGAAAUCAAUUGCUGUGAGAGUGGCAGGGGGGGCAGUAUACCGUAUUCCUACUGCACAGGUACACCUGGACUUGGGUGCGGGAGCUGGCAAUGUUCAUGUGGGCGUCAUGAAAGACUUACCUUCUGAAGUCAUCUUGGGCAACGACAUUGGCCCCCUGACUUCGGCGUUCGCCUCUACCACCGCUCAGGAGGCCCACGCAGUAACCACCAGAGCACAAAGUCGCGCUGCCGAGAGCCAUCCGCUUCCUACUGAGACCCAGGUAAGCCAACCCAACCUACCCUUGACUGUAGAACCCCUACCCUGGGACACCCCAGAGGACUUUGGGCGGGAGGUGACCGGAGACCCUUCCCUCAGAAAGUAUCGAGAGAAAGCCAGGAGGGGCCAAGAGGGGUUAGAGAAAGAGCAAUUUAUCUGGGAGAAAGGCCGCUUGUACAGGCUCACUGAGACCCGGGGUAAUGCACCAAGCAAAAACGCCAGCUGGUAGUUCCCUGGAAGUACCGGCAGGAGUUAUUGAGGAUUGGGCAUGAUGUACCCUUGGCAGGCCAUUUGGGAAUACGCAAGACGGGGUAUCGGAUAACCCAGAACUUUUUCUGGCCUGGGGUAUCCGAUGACGUCAGGGCGUAUUGUCAAACGUGCGAGGUAUGCCAACGUAUAGGUAAAAAGGGAGACCACCCAAAGGCUAAACUAGUUUCCAUGCCCAUUAUUGAAGAACCGUUCACAAGGGUAGCCGUGGACAUUAUAGGGCACCUGGCCCAACCUAGCCGUUGCGGCAAGCGUUAUAUACUCACCGUAGUAGACUAAGCCACCCGUUACCCCGAAGCGGUAGCUCUCUCUAGCAUACAGGCUGAGACCGUGGCAGAGGCCCUAGUUAAAAUAUUUUCCCGAGUAGGCUUUCCCAAGGAGGUUCUGUCCGACCAAGGUACACAACUCACGGCCGAGGUAACCCAGCAGAUAUGGAAAACCUGUGGAGUUAAAUCCCUGACUAGCUCCCCAUACCACCCCCAGACUAACGGCCUGUGCGAGCGCUUCAACGGAACGCUGAAGCAAAUGUUGAAGUCGUUCACGGGGGCGUACAAGGAUUGGGAGCGAUUCCUGCCACACCUUCUCUUUGCCUACCGAGAGGUGCCGCAGGAAUCGACCGGAUUCUCACCCUUCGAACUUCUCUAUGGGAGACGGGUGAGGGGGCCCUUAGAUCUCAUCAAGGAUCACUGGGAAGGGCAAACAGAAAUUGAGGGGACCCCAGUUGUACCUUAUGUCCUGGAGCUGAGGGACCGCAUGGAGGAAUUAGCCCAGACAGUGCGAGAGAACCUCCAGGAGGCCCAGCAGCGCCAGAAGGUAUGGUAUGACCGACGGGCUAGGCACCGGAGCUUUCAGAUAGGCCAGAAGGUCAUGGUGUUAAGGCCGGUCCGAACAGACAAGCUCCAGGCCGCCUGGCAGGGCCCCUAUAAAGUUAUAGGACAGAUAUGCAACACUACCUACACGAUAGCCAGCUGCGAGGAUGAAGAUGUGAAACGAACCUUUCACAUCAACAUGUUCAAGGCCUAUCAGGAACGGGCAGAGGAGGUAGCCGCUAUCUGUGCACCAGUUACUUGGGGGUCUCCAGAGCUUCACAUGCACCUAGAGCACGUAGGGGUAGUAUUAGAUAGGAUCAGGUGGGCCGGGCUGACCCUGAAACCCGACAAAUGUCAUUUGGGUAUGGCGAAGGUACAAUAUUUGGUACAAUAUUUGGGCCACCGAGUAGGAUGUGGAAGACACAGAAACACUACCCCUUCCCGACCUAUUAGGCAGUAAUGAAGGGAUGACCCAGAUCCAGCUAGGCGAACAGCUGGAGCCGCAAGAGCGGGCUCAAGCUGUCCGCUUACUAGAAACGAAACAGGCCACAUUCUCUCAGGAGCCUGGGUACACACUCCUAGCCGUACACAAGGUGGAGACUCCAGGACAGGCACCCCUAAGACAGCCUCCUUACCGUAUUCCAGAAGCAGUCCGGGAAGGGAUGCGGAAGGAAAUAGAUGAGAUGCUUCGGCUAGGCGUAAUCGAACACUCAGAAAGUCCUUGGGCCUCGACGGUAGUCUUAGUGCCAAAGAAGGAUGGGACAACCUGCUUCUGUGUAGAUUACCGGCGCCUCAACGACAAGACGGUUACGGACGCCUAUCCAAUGCCACGGAUGGACGAGCUGCUUGACCGUAUCUCUGCAAGGAAGUACCGGACCACAAUAGACCUAUGCAAGGGAUAUUGGCAGAUUCCCCUAGCAGAAGAUGCCAUACCCAAGUCGGCCUUCAUCACCCCGUUCGGCCUAUACCAAUUCCGGGUUAUGCCGUUCGGGAUGAAGAACGCCCCGGCCACCUUCCAACGGAUGGUGGACCAGUUACUUGGGGGUCUCCAGAGCUUCACAUGCACCUAGAGCACGUAGGGGUAGUAUUAGAUAGGAUCAGGUGGGCCGGGCUGACCCUGAAACCCGACAAAUGUCAUUUGGGUAUGGCGAAGGUACAAUAUUUGGGCCACCGAGUAGGAUGUGGUAAGCAACGGCCGGAGCCGGGUAAGAUCGAGGCCGUUGCCAAUUGGCCCACUCCCACACCAAGACACAAGUCAUGGCUUUCUUGGGCACAGCCGGCUAUUACAGACGCUUUGUACCCGACUAUAGCGCCCUGGCCAAACCCCUGACCGACGACCAAAAAGAAGCUACCCCGACAAGUCCUGUGGUCCCCGGAAUGCGAGGUGGCUUUCCAAGCACUAAAGACUGCUCUGGUUAAUGCUCCAGUGUUGGUUACCCCAGAUCCUAACAAAAUAUUUAUUGUCCACACAGACGCUUCAAUGUUUGGACUGGGGGCAGUACUAAGCCAGAUCGGAGAGGAUGGAGGAGAGCACCCGGUGGCAUACUUGAGUCGGAAGCUGUUGCCAAGGGAGGUCAGUUAUGCCACCAUUGAAAAAGAGUGUUUGGCCUUGGUAUGGGCACUCAAAAAGCUCACACCUUACCUUUAUGGCCGGGCUUUCACUCUCAUCACCGAUCACAAUCCCUUGGUGUGGCUUAACCGGGUUUCAGGGGCCAACGCCUGUUUGCUACGCUGGAGCUUGGCCUUACAGCCCUAUGACUUUAAGAUUCAUUAUAGUCCAGGCAAGCAAAACGGGAAUGCUGAUGGAUUGUCACGCCAAACGGAUUUAACCUCGGACUAAAAACUCUGAACCCGUCAACCCUACUGGACCAGGAAAGGUCCAACCGAGUUGCCGGAGCAGGGAGAAAAAGGGGGGCCAUUGUGAAGGACUUUUAUGUAUUUGCCUAUAUGCUUCAGUUUAAUCCUCUCCCUGCUAUUUUAAUGUCUAUAUUGUUCGGUUCAAACUGUUCAGAAUGAAUGUAUUCGUGUACCGAACAGGGAUCACACACCCUGGGUAGCAAGUAGCAAUUAAAACACAGAGAAAACCGCAACUUAAUUGCUACUAGGUGGCCGCCAUUCGACAUACACGUGGCGAGAACAAAGGAUGGCGGCCAUCUUAAAAUUCACGAAUGCGGUCAGCGGGGCUUACGCAUGAAUUGCAUGGAACUGUUUUCGGUACGGGAACCAUGCGAACGCCCGGUCCCCAUGGAAGUCCUGGAUGAAUACGUUCCCCUUCACGAAUAAACUGGCGUUCGGUAGAUAGUAUCUACCGAAUGAGGGGAACAUUCACAGGUAACCAGCUGAACCAUACGAACGGUGGUUUUCGUGUAGUUAGAUGCGAACGGAGACCGGCUCUUGCUACUGAUUCUAUGGAACUGUAACUCGGAUACCUCCACAUGGC
rnacentral:lncRNA from 1 species